GCUUUCACUUUCUGAUACAACAUCAGAAUCUUCCUCAUCAGGGUCAAACAUUUCAUCUCCAACGAAACAAUCAUUCAAGUCCUUAUGCUCACUUUCUUCAUGCUGAUGUUCACUGAUAUGAUCAGAAACUGGAGGCAGCAGUGGCUUUUCAUCCUGGUCUUUAUAAUCUGACAGGACAACAUACUUACUUUCAUCAAGCCGAGGCUUUGCAACGUUGAAGGGAACCCACCUGAGAUAUGCAUUAAAUAGCUUGCACAUUAACUUUGACAAUAUGCAGAAGUACUAAUUGCACAUCUUAAAGAAUAACUGAGCUCACAUAAUGACUAUUAAAUGUGAAGUAGUUGAACUAAAAGGGAUGAUGAGUUUAAAAGUUCACUUCCUCGCAAUUUGGAAGACCCUCAAGAAAUAAAGUUUCAUCCAACGAAGGAGAGUGCAAGAGGGACGUACUGGUAACGGCGGGGACAUAGAAGCUCAGAUGGCCGAUACGCUGCUUUAUAUCUCAUCUUGCUGCAUGAAUGAAUGUAAUAGCCAAGGUAAUAAUACUGAAGACUGGCGCAGUGAACUUGAUUUUCCUUCACCCAAGAUAUUUCUUGCAAAGCCGAAUAUUUUCCCAGUGAUAAAAAGGCAAAGUCAGGGUCCCAAAAUAAAUAUUUACUCGACAAGCAUUUAGGAAGGAUAUCCACCACACCAACCGCAACUAAUCGGCCAUCAAUAACAUAUGACUGAUGGAAAGACCCAAAACCGCAGGGAGGAACUGAACCAUCAUUGGUCGAGGGAACAAAAACUAAUGGAGUGUCAACCAAAAAUCUCUUGUACGCACUCUCUGUGACCUGGGCUGGAUUGUCCUUGUGCACUUUCAACUGAUAUCGCCUGUACAACUCAAAUUCUUCACGCUCAAAAGUGGAUCUUUUCAGAAGAAUCUCAAGCUUCCGCCUUCUUCCUGAACAACAUUUACAGCACCUCACCAUACAUCUUCUCUUGUUUCCAUUUCUCGUUGAAGAUUCUUUAGAGAGAGAUUUUUCUUCGCCAGUCUUAUCCGCUGAAGCGUGCUCUGCAAUAGAAUAAAAGUUCAGAUGUCCGUUACAUGCUUGGACCAAGAAGCCAGAUGUUUCAUCCAUUUGAGACAAUGACCGCGCCAACUUUUCUCCAAUCCUUCGAGGUGUCAACUCAGAAGGCAGUUGGUCUUCUGCUGAGAUUCCAGAGAAUUCUGACCCUUUUUCAUCCUUUUUUCCUGACUGUGCACGCCUUAAAGUGGCAGCCAAUUGGAAAGCAAUGUUACUGGUAUACGAGAGAUUUUCCAAUCCUUUGACUAGCUUCUUCUUCUUGGUUGGGGAGACUCCUUUGACAGAAGCUUUAGGUAAUUGAAGAUUGGCAGAAAACGUCUCCCUUUCAAUGCAUGCCUGCACAGCCUUAUCAAUUGCAUCAGACAAGUAAUGCAUAAAUUGUUCUGGCUCAUUCUUAUCCUCCUCCACAUCCACAGAAGUUUCAACCGUUGCCAAGCUUGACCUUCCAUGACAUUCACAUUCACAUGCCACUUUAGAAGUAUUUAAAUCCUCCAGGAGCUCAGGCUUGGCUUUGGUGUCCAGUGUACCAUCCAGAAACCUAGAAACUAAUCACCAUGGUGAGAAAUUCUUGUACAUUAUAUCCAGAGUAUGCAGCUUUGCUAAAUCCUCACCUCAGAGGCAUAAUUUGGUUGAAAUGCACAAGUAGCCUAACAAUUUUCACAACCAUUGCACUUGUUAAGUUUAGCUUCAUGGUGUAAAAAGACCGAGAAAUUUCUCAAGGAGUCAAAAAGCAAAGCUCUUUCACUUUGAGAAAUCUCCUAGGUAGGAAAGCUUAGUGACGUCAAACUAAAAUUCCACUCAUGGAGUUGUCCAUUGAAAUACCAUUCCAAUGCCUACCAGCCUCAGAGUGGGCAAAUAGUAUUUUCGAUGACCACUGCUCUAAUCAAUUGACAAAGAAUGGACUCCAAACUCGAAUGCUGUCUUGAAAACAGGGUGGUGGUCGAUUUUGCAAAAUGCAAUGACGACGGAAUGAUGAAAAAAAUCAUAUGUGAAGAUGCAAUGAUCCAAUGAAUAGAAUCCAUAAUGUAGAGAGGUUAAUAAAGUAAUACCUUUCCAUCUGUUUGCGUACUCGAUUUUGCUCCUUGGAAGGAGAAAAGUCCGCUGCUUUUAAGCGGAUAGUAUAAGAAGGGCAACACGUAGUACUCAUAUCUGGCUUGUAAAGGAAAGAGCCAGAUCUUCUCCAUCCUCGAUCAAGGAGAUCUACAGGAUGAGUACCAAAGUAUGAAUUGCCACUCAAAAGAAAAAUGCAGAAUCAUCGAAUACGCUAUAACAUCUAUCCGACCCAUUAUUGCCACAGUAAGAAACCUAGCAGAGAAACCCAUCAGGUACAUUUGAAAGAAGAAUAAAAGGAGAAGGGUAAGACACGGACAGAAACUACUCGAGCCGGAACUUGAGCAUCCACCACAGCUCCGACACGGUUUCUCUGAGCUCUUGCAGUUAAAUACGCACAUACGGAAGCAUACGUGCAUGUCCUAACCGUUGAUAGAAGGAGUACGCAUAAAUUUCCCUCGUACGGAUCAAAUAUUCCGAAUUUCUCUAGUUCUUUCGAUCAGACAUGUGCACAUAUCGAAACUACAUCAGCCGAGUUCGAUAAGUAACAGCGCAUCGACAGUCCAGAGUUGCCCAGACUCUCAAAAUAGGAAAUUGCACACCAACCUUGAUAGUCAUCCACGGUCAGGCUCUGCGCAAUCAAGCCUGCGAUCCAAGUCGAAGAGACGUUAAAAAACAAACAACCCGAAACGGGAAAAAAUCGUCAGCGCGAGCCGACGCACGCAACGAAGCAUCAGAUUGGAACUAGAGACUAAACGCGAAUCAGCAAUUCCAGCGACCGUGAACGUCACGACAGACGACAAAAGCCGGAAAAAAGCAAACCCCGAAGCACGGCACCUCCAGUCCCGACCACCGGAGGCCGGGCAAAAACCGUACUCAACGACACGGGAGGGAGGCAAACAACGAGAAACGAAGGAGAAACCGUACGGACCGUGAGAAACGCUGGAGAACCCAUUUGGCGAUUUGCAGUACCCGCAGGAGCUCCUCCGCCGGCCGCAGUCCGAGACCACCGACUCCCCCCUUCCGCCGCCGCUGCUGCUCGCCUCGCUGCGAUGAUUGGCCGCCAUCUCCGAUCGAAGCUCCUUCCCUUCAACUAUUCAUCACCAAAGCAGAGGCGGAAAAAGGGCGAGGGAAUUGCCGGCGUCUCCGAUGUCUACGAGCUUCGAAUCCGUUUCCGGAAUUUGGAUAUAUAAAUCCGUGGGCUCUUCCUUCAAGCUCUUCUUGACUCGGCUAGGCGGUUUAACCCCGCCUUCUCCGGUUUUCCUUCCUCCCUCCCCCAGGGUCUUUCCUCGGAAAAGGGACAAAAGAAAAGUAUCAUCUCCAUUUUUAUUUUUAUUUUUUUUUUGCUUUUCUGGUGGCGUACUCUGAGAAUAUGUCCCGAAUGAGGCCACGAUUUUCACCCUCUUUUACCGCAAAGGCCCAUCGAAAGGUGGGGGCGGCAAUUUGCGUUUUUUCACCCCGGGAGUCUCUCCCCUAAUAUUGGCAAUCGAUAUCGUUUCACGAAAACUCCACAUUAAUAUACUUAUGAUAAUUUUAAAUUAAUUUUGAUAAUAAUGCUAAAAUAUAUAUAUAUAUAUAAUUUUUUUUAAAAGACCAAACCCUUCAUCAAAAUUUCUUAAUUUUUAUUUGUUUAAAAUUGAAAAAAAAUAACGUAUGCAACUUUUUUAAUAUAAAUUUUGACAAUAAUGCUAAAUAUAUAUAUAUAUAAUUUUUUUUAAAAAGACCAAAUCAUUUGUCAAAUUUUUUUUAGUUUUUUAAUUGUUUAAAAUUGAAAAAAUAAUUUAUGCAAAUUUUUAAAUAUAAAUUCGAAAAUAAUUCUAAAAAAUCAAAUAUAUAUAUAUAUAUAUAUAUAUAUAUAUAUUAAAAAGAACCAAACUCUUCGUUGGAAUUUUUUAAUUUUUAUUUGUUUAAAAUUGAAAAAAAUAAUGUAUGUAACUUUUUAAAUAUAAAUUUUGACAAUAAUGCUAAAAAAUCAAAUAUAUAAAUAAUUUUUUUAAAAAGACCAAAAUAUAUUUAUUUUUUUUAGUAUUUAUAUAAUUUUGAUUUUUUAGCAUUAUUUUGGCAUUUAAAAAAAAAUAACGAGGGCAAAAUUAGAAAUUUGAAGAAUAAGUUAUGAUAAUUUUGGAAAAAAAAAUAAGUUUUAGUAUUUGACUAAAUGCUAAAAGCUUAAAACUAGUCCCUACUAAUAUUGGCCUUUCAGACUUUUUAAUAUUGGCUUUCACUUGAAAGUUACUUCAAAAUGAUUGCCAAAUAAUUUAGCAUUUUCUCAAGAGACUUUGAAAUGUGAAAAUUCUUUGAGAAUGUUGAACCAAAUAUAUCCAAAGUCCAGUUUUUAUUGAGAAAGUAUCCGUUGGUGUUGGGUCUUGAUAAUCCAUGGUUCAUACAAGGGAAAGGGAAAGAAUAUUAUCGAAGAAUACAAUGUAGGAAAUUGAAAAGUAAGAGAGACCAAAAUCAAAAGACGUAUUUGCACGUAUUUUCUAUCAUAUCCACACGCUCCACCAAUCAAGGCGCACAAGUAUUUCGUUCAUACCACUUGCUCUGAUUGCGACAUUCGUAGUCUUAUCGCUAUCCCCAAAAUAUAGUAAAAGCCCUACACCCACUAACCCAAAAAAAAGUUUGAGAAAGAUGUCGUGGCAGCCUGGCUGGUACUUCAAUUGCCGCCUUAUUUUCAGAUGAUGAUGAUGGUGGUGGAAAGGUGCUCCACUCAACACCAGCCAAAAAAGAAGAAGAGAGAACAGCUAGUAGUUAAAUAGUCAAUCCUGGUCCUUUUCAUAUUGAAGGGGAAAAUGAUGCACGGGGGGCUAGAAGCUCGGGACAGGACAGACGGCCUUCAACUCCAGAAAAUAUUUGGUACCUCUUAUGUAACUAGCAUAACAAUAAAAGGAGAUCUAAAGAGGUGAGACACGUUUAAAGUAAGCCCAAACGUCAGAUUACCAUGCACGCUUUCUUCUCCCUCCUCUCUCCUGUCUCCUCUCUUUGCCCAAAUGCCAUAAUUCUCUACACACGCUCUCUCUCUCUUCGCCACCCGCUCUCUAUCCCACCGAGCUCUCGUUUGACCGACAAACUUUGCCCCAACGGAGGCAAAGCCGCGUUCAUUCAUCCCACAAGGGUUCGAUUGUGACUUGAAGAGGGAAAGAGAGAACAGCCGAUGGGGGCUAGCGAGCUAUCAUCAAACCAGCGCUGUGGCUCGUCGGCUAGACAAGGGCACGAUGGCUCGUUCAACGAACCACCACACAACCUUGCCUCGAGGUUGUCUACACUGUCGCGAAGUUCGUCGAUUAAGCGCGGUGGCUCGUCUGAUGAGCAAUCUCACGGCUCCGCCUCUGCAUAGAAAAGUUGCCUCCUCUGACGCUAGCCAACCUCAACGGAGAAGAAGAUGAAUAGUUGCAAAUAAGGGCAAAAUCGAAAAACAAAAAAAUUAGUGAGAAUAUUGGGUGUUUGAUAAAAUUUUCGAAUCCACUUUAAGAAAAAGUUUACAUUUGAAAAAUUGAAAACUCAAGGAGGUUACAGGCUACCUUGGGCUUCCAGCCUUCUUGCUAUGCAAGAAAGCCUAGGGAGGUAAAAAAAAAUUUAUUCUGAAACUAUCCUCAUUGACUUUUUUGGUUUUCCGAUUUUUCCCUUAUUUGCAAUUGUUCAUCUUCUUCUUUGUGGGGCUAGCCAGCGUGGCUACUGUGGCUAUGAGGGGUCGGCAAUGGGCUAAAGAGAGGCUAGCAUAAUCACGACGACCUAGGUGACCGUCGCCGGGGGUUGUGUGACCUAGGUGAGUGCCAUCUGGGUCACACAAGACAGGCUGAGGUCACUUAAUCCAGACAGUAGAUGGCCCUCGAUAAUUGCGCAACCCCAGCAAGAGUCUGCCUUGUUUCGUGCAACCUAGUUGGCCAUUGUUAGGGUUGAGCGACCUCCGCGAGAGUCACGCCAACAAAGGUUGCCUGGCUUUGCCUGGCCCAACCGGCCCUUGUUGGGGUUGAGCAACCUCGGCAAGGGAUCGUACGAGCUACGCGAUGUAGCUAACCCUUGUUGGGGUCGAGCAACCUUCAUGAGGGUCACUUCAAUGAGGGCUACUUGGGUUUGCACAACCCAACUGGCCCUUGCAGGGUUUGAGUGACCUUUGUGAGGGGUUGCAUGGGUUGCACGACACUCGUCCAAUCCUAGGUGGCCUUCGCCAUGGAUCUCUAGGGCAGACGACAACUGCUGGCAACAAAUCUAGAUCACCAACGGCCACCUGCCCUUGGUUUGUUAGGGGCAACAUAUUUUUUAGUACCUGAAAUGAUUUGUCAAUAUAAUCUUUCCAAACAUUAUUUUAUUUAAAAGUACUUCACGAUAAACUCUUACAUUACGAUUUAAUAAACAUGAUUUGCAUUUUGGAAAACUCAUUUAACUUAAAAGUAUUUUACAUUUUUCCAAAAAAAAUUCCCAAAAAUUUAACCAAACGCACCAAAGAGAGUGCACUAGGUAGUAUGGCAUUUGGGUGAAAGAGAGGAGAGAGGAGAGAACAGUGCGUGCAGCAUUUGGACAAGAGAGAGGGAAGAGAAGAGAGCAUGCAAGGAAGUGAUGUUUGGACCCACUUUGGAUCUGUGUUGCCAUUUCAAGUCCCUUCUUAUUUAUUGUACUAGCUACAUAAGAGAUACCUAAUAUUUUCUUCCUUCAACUUAGUGAAUCUAGAUGUGAUGUGAAGAGGUGACAAGACCAUUUCCUCGAACGUGGAUUACAGCAUCUACUUAAAGCCUAUCAAAAUAACAAGUCAUACCUCGAUGUAUUACCUCACUAGUCCUGUGCCAUCGGAUACACUUGACUCAAUGUGUGUUCCAAAAAGAGGAACUCCACGAGUCAUGACAUUCCAGAGGAUGUAUUUUUGCUACUAAGCUAUCAAACAAGAACAAGAACAACGAAAUUAUAGUCCUAUUCAAACAGUGGCAACACCUUCGGGGACAACCAUCGAAGCAGUUGCCGCCUCCUCCGAAACAUCAGCCACUGCGGCACCACUGACUUUAGGGCCAUCUGUGUUGGGUGCUGAUGGCCCUGAAUGAGGCCACAAUUUUUUGGUAGUGUACUCUGAGAAUAUUUCGCAAAUGAGGCCACAAUUUUCACCCUUUUUUACCGGAAGGACCCAUCGAAAAGGGGGCAGCAACUUGCGUUUUUUCACCCCGGGAGUAUCUCCCCUAAUAUUUGUGAUCGAGAUCAUACCACGAAAACUCCAAAUUGAUAUACCUACAAUAAUUUUUAAAUUAAUUUUUUAACUGUCAAAAACUCCAAACUAAUAAAACUCUUCGUUAGUUUACAUUAAAUUUUAUCAUCAAAUUAAUAACAUAUGACAAUUAAUGAGCGUACUAAUUUGAUGGCUUGCCUUUUAUUUGUCAUGUAUUGAUCUAAUUUGAUAAAGACUAAAGUAGAGUAAAAUUAUCAUAAAUAUACUAUUUUGAUAUUUUUGAUAAUAAAAAAGUCAGUUUAAAGUAAAUUUAUCAUAAAUAUAUCAAUUUGUAUAAUGUUAAUCCAUUGCUCAAAUAGCUCAAACUUUGAUUACGACAUAAAGUCCAUUUUCCAUUGAGAAAGUAUCGGUUGGUGUUGGGUCUUGAUAAUCCAUAGUUCAUACAAGGGAAAGGGAAAGAAUAUUAUCGAGGAAUACAAUGUAGCAAAGUGAAAAGUAAGGGGGGGGGGGGGGGGGACCAAAAUCGAAAGGUGUAUUUUGCACGUAUUUUCUAUCAUAUCCACACUCUCCACCAAUCAAAGGCGCACGGGUGACGUAUUUCGUCCAUACCCCUUGCUCUGAUUGCCACGUUUUAGUCUUAUCAAUAUCCCCAAAAUAUAGUAAAAGCCCUACACCCACUAACCCAAAAAAAGUUUCGAGGAAGAUGUCGUGGCAGCCUGGCAGGGACUUCAAUUGCCGCCUUAUUUUCAGAUGAUGAUGAUGGAAAGGUCCUCCACUCGAUACCAGCCAAAAAAAAAGAACAACUAGUAGUUAAACAGUCAACCAUGGCCCUUUUCGUAUUGACUGGGAAAAUGAUGCAGCUGGGCUAGAAGCCCGGCACAGAACAGACGGCCUUCGAAAAAAUAUCUGGUGCCUCUUAUGUAGCUAACAUAACCAAAAAAGAAGGGAUCUAAAACGGUGACACCAGACCCCAAACCUCAGAUUCCCAUCCACGCUCUCUUCUCCCUCCUCUCUCCUAUCUCCUCUCUUGCCCAAAUGCCAUACUCCUCUACACUCUCUCUCUCUCUCUCUCUCUCUCUCUCUCUCUCUCUCUAGCCCGACUCUCCCUCCCUUCGCCACCCCCUCUCUAUCCCACCAAGCCCUCGUUUGACCAACAAACUUUGCCCCAACAGAUGCGAAGCCACGGUUAUUCGUCCAACAAGGGUUCAAUUGUGAUUCGAAGGGGGGAAGAGAGAACAGCCGAUUGGGGACAGCAAAGCUAUAGUCGGAUCAGCGCUCUGGCUCAUCAGUUGGACAACGGCAUGAUCACUUGUUCCACGAACCACCUCAUAACCUCACCUCAAGGUUGUCUCCACCGUCACGAAGUUUGUCGAUCGAGCGCGAUGGCUCGUCUGGACGAAUCAUCGCACGGCUCUGCCUCCACAUAGAAAGGUUGCCUCCGCUGGCACAAGCCAACCCCAACGGAGAAGAAGAUGAGCAUCGCAAAUAAGGAUAAAAUCGAAAAACCAAAAAGAUAUGAUGGGUAAAAAUGACAAGACCAUCGCCUCGAGACACAAAGGAUAGCAUAGCAUCAACAUCAAGGAAGAGCCUAUAAGAAUAACAAGUCGUACCUUGAUGUAUUACCUCGCUAGUCCUGUCCCCUCGGUACAUGUGACCCAGUGUGUGUUCCAAAAAGAGGAACUCCACGAGUCAUGACGUCCGGAUGAUGUAUUUUUGCUACUAAGGCCCCGUUUAGUAAAUUUUUUAUUUUAUUUCCCGUAACAAUUAUUUAUGUUGUUUUGUCUCACGGAACAAAAAAAGAAUAGAAAUCUAUUUAGUAAAUUUUUUAUUUUUUAGAAUGAAAAAAGAAUAGAAACCCAUUUAGUAAAAUUUUGUUUCCAGGAAUAAAAAAUCCAUUUUUUUCCUGGGAAUAAAUUUGGAACAGAAACAAAAAAUAGAAAAAAAUAAAAUUUUAUUUCCAAGAAUAAUUCCUAAGAAUUGGAUGAACAAAAACAAAAAAUUUAUUUUUUCUUCUCUUCUCUCUUCUUCUUCUUCUCUCUCUCUCUCUUUUUUUUAAUUCUCUUUCAUUUUCUUCUACUUUCUUUUGGUCGGUUGCCAACUUUGGCCGUGGCCUGGUGAGGCUUCGGCUAGCUCGCCGGACCUUGCCUAGCCGGCAACUGGCCAAAGAGAAAAACAAAAAGAAAAAAGAGAAAAGAGAAAAAUAAGAAAAUAUAAUAAAAGUAUUAAAAAAUUAAAAGAAAUAAAAAAAAUUAAGAAACCUACCAAACGCAUUUUUAUCCCUAGAAUAAAAAUUUUAUGUAGUUAUCAAAGACCUUUUUUUGCUCAGAAAUUAUCCCUAAGAACAGAAUCAGCAAAGACCAUUUUUAAUAAAAAAUUGUUCUCCGCAACUAAAAAGGUUACGAAAUGCGUCCUAAACUAUCAAACAAGAACGAGAAUAAUGAAAUUAUAGUCCUAUUCAAGCAGCGACAACAGCUUCAAGGGCCGCCACCGAAGCAGUUGCCACCUUUUUCGGAAGCAUCAACCACUGCGGCACCACCUACUUUAGGUCCAUCUGAGUUGGGUGCCGAUGGCAGACAAAGCUUCAGGUGGGACGGAGCGUUGUGCUUCAAGAGAAUCUGUUGCAUCCUUGAAAUUUCGGUUGGCUUUCCUAGUUUAGGGCCUUGAACAACAACAGAGGGCUUCUUCUCUUGAUCCUUCUUUCCUCUGAGGAACUUCAUUAUGGAUGAGCUCUGCAAUCGCCUUCCAAUAGUUCUUGUCAGCCUUAGUGCGGAACUUCCCUAGGCUGGCCAAAAACAACUGAACCACGAAGGACAUAGCAUCAGAAAAGGCCAGUAACAUUACCAUGACAACAUCCCCUACCAGACUGCCAAAGGUGACCGCAUAAAAGCAAUGGUCCUAUGCAACUAUUAGUGCUCUGAUUCUUCGUGUUAUUUCACCUUGGAUUAAACAAUUGAUAAGAUGUCCUUGAUAUAUCAUAACGAAUAUAACCUAUGACAUUAACCAAAUUUAAUUCCAGACUAGUUAAGUUCAACCACAUUCAGUUUUUUCUCCAUCCUAUGCAACUUGUGUUAUUUCACCCAGUCACGAUAAAUCAAGUCUUAGAUGCAUUGUAACGAGUAUAACAUUGACACUAGUCAGAUUUCCAAUCAAUUGAGAUCAAAGACAUUCUGAUUUUCCCCAUCCUGCAUAAUAGCAAAUGUCCUAGGAAAUAACUAAGAUCUUAAUCAACACACGCCAGUAAUUUACUUUAAUUUGGUCCUAGAAUCUACUCCCCGUAAUCGCCAUUGUAUUUACAGCACUAAUAAGGAUUCCCCAAACACAUCGUGCCCUUUAAUCUUCCGCACCAACUACAAGGCAUUUUACCUCAUUAUAUUGAAUAAUGUCCGAAUUGUGUGCGCUACCAUAAAAAGUAUGAGGCUAAAGUGCAGUUCAAAUGCAUGAUAUACCGUUGGCGUGCUCCUCCUUUGCAAGAAUACUAUUUGAUCGUAGUGGGCAUUCGAUACUUAGAAUAGAAUUGUUUUAAAGGGUACUUUAACUUGAUUGACCCCAAUUUGCAAGCAUGGGAGCUACUAACGCACCUCAUACCUUAGACAUUAACAGAAAGCUGAUGCAUUGCAACUUAAUUUUCAACUCUCGAGUCAGCAUUAUGCAGUUCUUCACAAUGAUUACAAAAGAUCAUUUUUAAAUCAAUUUGAUUAACUAUUGCAAAUCUAAAAAUCAAAUACCAUGGCUUGAAUAUUCCACUAACAGUCGUCAGCACAACUUCCAUGAAUUAAAUGAUUACAAUUUAAUGCACUGAUGUGAUACAACGGAAUCAUAUAGAACCCCCCUGGCAAAAUUGUUACAGAAACAAUCACAAAAUAUAUAUAUAUAUAAUUCAAGUAUUAACAAAAGAUAAAUAUCAUGAAUUAAGCUUGCAACUGUAGAUUGGAAGCGCUCGCCUACUCAUUUUUCCUGUUGUUUGUCUUGUUCUCGCAUGUUAUCGUCCUUUUCCUGUAGAGCAUUUCCAAUUUCCCUAUCCUCUGUUUCAGGGAGUUCUAAAUUAAAGCUUUCACUUUCUGAAACAACAUCAGAAUCUUCCUCAUCAGGGUCAAACAUUUCAUCUCCAACUAAACGAUCAUUCAAGUCCUUAUGCUCACUUUCUUCAUGCUGAUGUUCACUGAUAUGAUCAGAAACUGGAGGCAGCAAUGGCUUUUCAUCUUGGUCUUUAUAAUCUGACAGGACAACAUACUUACGUUCAUCAAGCCGAGGCUUUGCAACGUUGAAGGGAACCCACCUGAGAUAUGCAGUAAAUAGCUUGCACAUUAACUUUGACAAUAUGCAGAAGUACUUAUUGCACAUGUUAAAGAAUAACUGAGCUCACAUAGUGACUAUUAAAUGUGAAGUAGUUGAACUAAAAGGGAUGAUGAGUUUAAAAGUUCACUUCCUCGCAAUUUGGAAGACCCUCAAGAAAUAAAGUUUCAUCCAAAGAAGGAGAGUGCAGGAGGGACGUACUGGUAACGGAGGGGACAUAGAAGCUCAGAUGGCCGAUACGCUGCUUUAUAUCUCAUCUUGCUGCAUGAAUGAAUGUAAUAGCCAAGGUAAUAAUACUGGAGACUGGGGCAGUGAACUCGAUUCUCCUUCACCCAAGAUAUUUCUUGCAAAGCCGAAUAUUUUCCCAGUGAUAAAAAGGCAAAGUCAGGGUCCCAAAAUAAAUAUUUACUCGACAAGCAUUUAGGAAGGAUAUCCACCACACCAACCGCAACUAAUCGGCCAUCAAUAACAUAUGACUGAUGGAAAGACCCAAAACCGCAGGGAGGAACUGAACCAUCACCGGUCGAGGGAACAAAAACCAAUGGUGUGUCAACCAAAAAACUCUCGUACCCUUCCUCUGUGAUAUCGUCUGGAUUGUCCUUGUGCACUUUCAACUGAUAUCGCCUGUACAACUCAAAUUCUUCACGCUCAAAACUGGAUCUUUUCAGAAGAAUCUCAAGCUUCCGCCUUUUUCCUGAACAACAGUUACAGCACCUCACCAUACAUCUUCUCUUGUUUCCAUUUCUCGUUGAAGAUUCUUUAGAGAGAGAUUUUUCUUCGCCAGUCUUAUCCGCUGAAGCGUGCUCUGCAAUAGAAUAAAAGUUCAGAUGUCCGUUACAUGCUUGGACCAAGAAGCCAGAUGUUUCAUCCGUUUGAGACAAUGACCGCGCCAACUUUUCUCCAAUCCUUCGAGGUGUCAACUCAGAAGGCAGUUGGUCUUCUGCUGAGAUUCCAGAGAAUUCUGACCCUUUUUCAUCCUUUUUUUCUGACCGCGCACGCCUUAAAGUGGCAGCCAAUUGGAAAGCAAUGUUACUGGUAUACGAGAGAUUUUCCAAUCCUUUGACUAGCUUCUUCUUCUUGGUUGGGGAGCCUCCUUUGACAGAAGCUUUAGGUAAUUGAAGAUUGGCAGAAAACGUCUCGCUUUCGAUACAUGCCUGCACAGCCUUAUCAAUUGCAUCAGACAAGUAAUGCAUAAAUUGUUCUGGCUCAUUCUUAUCCUCCUCCACGUCCACAGAAGUUUCAACCGUUGCCAAGUUUGACCUUCCAUGACAUUCACAUUCACAUGCCACUUUAGAAGUAUUUAAAUCCUCCAGGAGCUCAGGCUUGGCUUUGGUGUCCAGUGUACCAUCCAGAAACCUAGAAAAUAAUCACCAUGGUGAGAAAUUCUUGUACAUUAUAUCCAGAGUAUGCAGCUUUGCUAAAUCCUCACCUCAAAGGUAUAAUUCGGUUGAAAUGCACAAGUAGCCUAACAAUUUUUGCAACCAUUGCACUUGUUAAGUUUAGCUUCAUGGUGUAAAAAGACCGAGAAAUUUCUCAAGGAGUCAAAAAGCAAAGCUCUUUCACUUUGAGAAAUCUCCUAGGUUGGAAAGCUUAGUGACGUCAAACUAAAAUUCCACUCAUGGAGUUGUCCGUUGAAAUACCAUUCCAAUGCCUACCAGCCUCAGAGUGGGCAAAUAGUAUUUUUGAUGACCACUGGUCUAAUCAAUUGACAAAGAAUGGACUCCAAACUCGAAUGCUGUCUUGAAAACAGGGUGGUGGUCGAUUUUGCAAAAUCCAACGACGACGGACUGAUGAAAAAAAUCAUAUGUGAAGAUGCAAUGAUCCAAUGAAUAGAAUCCAUAAUGUAGAGAGGUUAUUAAAGUAAUACCUUUCCAUCCGUUUGCGUACUCGAUUUUGCUCCUUGGAAGGAGAAAAGUCCGCUGCUUUUAAGCGGAUAGUAUAAGAAGGGCAACACGUAGUACUCAUAUCUGGCUUGUAAAGGAAAGAGCCAGAUCUUCUCCAUCCUCGAUCAAGGAGAUCUACAGGAUGAGCAUCGAAGUAUGAAUUGCCACUCAAAAGAUAAAUGCACAAUCAUUGAAUGUACUAUAACAUCUAUCCGAGCCAUCAUUGCCACAGUAAGAAAACUAUUGGGAUAGAAACGACUCGAGUCGGAACUUCAGCAUCCACCAUAGCUCCAACAUGGUUUCUCUGAGCUCUUGCAGUUAAAAUACGCACAUACGGAAGCAUACGUGCGUGUCUUAACUGCUGAUAGAAUGAGUAGGCAUAAAUUUCCCUCAUACGGAUCAAGCAUUCGAAAUUUCUCUACUUCUUUCGACCAGACAUGUGCACAUAUUGAAACUACAUGAGCCGAGAGUCGAUUAGUUACAGCGCAUCGACAGUCCAGAGCUGCCCAGACUCUCAAAAUAGGAAAUCCCGCACCAACCUUGAUAGUCAUCCACGUUUAGGCUCUCCGCGAUCAAGCCUGCGAUCCAAGUCGAAGAGACGUUAAAAAACAAACAAUACGAAACGGGAAAAAAUCGUCACAGCAAGCCGACACACGCAACGAAGCGUCAGAUUGGAACUAAAGACUAAACGCGAAUCAGCAAUUCCAGCGACCGUGAACGUCACAACAGACGACAAAAGCCGGCAAAAAGCAAACCCGACGCACGGCAUCUCCAGUCCCGAGCCACCGGAGUCCGGGCAAAAACCGUACUCAACGACACGGGCGGGAGGCAAACAACGAGAAACGAAGGAGGAACCGUACGGACCGUGAGAAAUGCUGGACCGAUUGGACGAUCCGCAGUACCCGCAGGAGCUCCUCUGCCGGCCGCAGUCCAUGACCACCGACUUCCCCCUUCCGCCGCCGCCGCCGCCGCCUCCGCCUCUGUCGCUGCUGCUCGCCUCGCUGCGAUGAUGGGCCGCCAUGUUGGAACCAAAAGGACUUGGAGGGAGAGAGUACACACACAAAGAGAGAUUAUAUUACACAAUAUGCCUUUGUAAAGGCUUAAGAGAGUACACACUAACUUUGCUAAGUUUAAAACUCUCUCUAAAAACUCACUCUCUCACAAAAACACUCUCACACACUGAACUAACGUAACCCUAUAUCUAAAAGUACUUCACCGCAUGGACUUCAAACCUGCAAGAGUUAAAUUUGAACUUUACUUCUUGGCAGUCAAAAAAAAACGUCGGCUGCGUAUCUCUUCUUCUUGCUGUCUUCAGAGAGAAUAAAAUAUUGCCAUCCCCAAGUUGCUUUCCUUCCUUUCCUUCGUGCUCUUGGAGUCUUCAGCAGCAACUAUAAUAUUUUAUUGUGUGCCCAAGACUUGUACUUUCUUCAUGAUUUUUCUUCUCCGGCGGCUCAGAGAGACGUGGUGCUGUAGCACACGUUUCUUUGACGGUUUACAAACCUAAUAACUCUUAUUUACACACACACAGCCAAAAACAAUUAAAAGACAAAUAAGCUAGUCAAAACACAAAACCAAUUUUACUAUUUUCUAACAGCCUCCCUUAAAAUUGAUUUUGUAAGACUACGACACCAAGCAUUGUCUUCAAUUUCUCGAACAGAUCCGCCUUCAAUGGUUUUGUCAAAAUAUCUGCAAUCUGGUCUUCGGAUUUACAGAAAUCAAGUUCAAUCUCAUCUUCUUUAAUCAGCUCACGAAUAUAAUGAUACUUGAUGUCGAUAUGUUUGCUCCUGCCAUGAAAUACAGGAUUCUUGGCCAAUGCAAUUGCUGACUUGUUAUCACACAUCAAUUUAGUAGGACCUUUUUGUUCAUGCAUAAGCUCAAAAAGCAUCCUUCGAAGCCACAUCGCCUGACAUGCUGCUGAAGAUACUGCAAUGUAUUCUGCUUCAGUUGUUGAGAGUGCAAUAACUUGUUGUUUCUUUGAUGACCAAGAAAUUAUUCCUGAUCCAAGAAAGAACGCAUAUCCAGAAGUGCUCUUUCGUGUUUCAGUAUCACCUGCCCAAUCACUGUCUGUAUACCCCACUAAACUGAAGUUGUCAGUGUAAGAAUAUGAAAUUCCAUGAUCACGAGUUCCACUGACAUACCUUAAAAUUCUUUUUGCUGCUUGCAAAUGUGAUUGGUAUGGUUUCUCCAUAAACCGACUAAUAAUUCCCACGCCAUAAGUUAUAUCUGGCCUAGUGGUAGCCAAAUAUCUUAAACUGCCGACAAUACUUUUGAAAUAAGUGGGAUUUACCAGUUCACCGGUUCCUUCUUUCUUCAACUCCAACCGUUCUGCUACAGGAGUUCGAAUUGAUUUGAGCGUUUCCAUAUUGAAUCGCUUCAAAAUAUCAUUAGCAUACUUCUGCUGUGAAACAAAUAUGCCUUCAUUUGUCUGCUUCACUUCAAGGCCCAGAAAAUAGGACAUUAAUCCCAAGUCCGUCAUCUCAAAUUGACUUGUCAUGGCCUCCCUGAAUUCAGCAAACAUCUUCUCACAGCUUCCUGUAAAUAUCAAAUCAUCAACAUAAAGGCAAAUAAUUAUAAUAUUGCCGUUAGUAUUUGAUUUGAUAUACAGUGUAUGCUCAUAAGGGCACUUUUGAAAGCCAUGCUCCAACAGGUAAGUAUCAAUCCUCGUGUACCAAGCUCGAGGUGCCUGUUUUAGCCCAUACAACGCUUUCUUCAAUUUAUAAACUUGAUUUUCACGCCCUUUCUUCACAUAACCUUGUGGUUGCUCCACAUAUACUUCCUCAUCAAGAAAACCAUUAAGGAAUGCCGAUUUCACAUCCAUUUGAUGGAUUUUCCAACGGUUCUGAGCUGCAAGUGCCAAGAUCAUUCGAAUGGUAUCCAUUCGAGCCACCGGUGCAAAUACUUCAAAAUAAUCAAUACCUGGCUUUUGCUUGUAGCCUUUCACCACCAGUCUAGCUUUGUAACGGUCCACCUGACCGUUGGGUUUGCACUUCGUUUUGUACACCCACUUGACACCUAUAGGCUUCUUACCAGGUGGUAAAGAAGUUAGCACCCACGUGUCAUUCUUUUCAAUGGAGUGGAUUUCUUCAUCCAUUGCUUGGUUCCACUUCUCAUCUGCUGCUGCAUCAUCAUAGGAUAUGGGGUCACAUUCGGUAAAUAAACAAAAGUUUACCAUUGUUUCAUCAGUGAUUUCGUCACUGUCAUUAUGAUCAACUCUUGUGACCACAUAAUCCUUGAAUUUUACUGGCGUCUUUUGCGGUCGUUGUGAACGACGAAUCAAUGGUUCUGCAGUCGUUGCUGGUGAGGAGGAUGAACUACCAGGUGAAAGUGAUGGAUCUUCAAUUGAAGAUUCUUCGGUCUCCCUCAUCAAUGGUUCAUCUUCCAUAGGAAUGUCUUUCUGGUCAGCCUUUUGAUUCCAGUCCCAGGCUUCAUCUUCAAAAAAUUGGACAUCCCUGCUAAUAAUUACCUUCUCCGUGACAGGAUUAUAUAGCUUAUAACCCUUAGUCACAUUACUAUAUCCAAUGAAAAUGCACUUCUCGCUUUUAUCAUCCAACUUUUUUCUUCGUUCGUCCGGUAUAUGGGGAUAUGCUACACACCCAAAUACCCGUAGGAACGAAACAUCUGGCUUGUUGCCGCUCCAAGCCUCUUCUGGAGUUCUUCCAAGAACACUCCUUGUUGGACACCUAUUCAACACAAAUACAGCACAAGCAACGGCUUCCGCCCAAAACUUCUUCGGAAUGCUUUAGCCUUUAGCAUACUUCUUGCCAUUUCAAAAAUUGUUCUAUUCUUUCUUUCUACUAUACCAUUUUGCUGAGGAGUAUAGCUAGCAGUCAACUGACGUUUCACUCCAUGAAUUUUACAAUAAUUGUCAAAUUCAUUGGAAGUAAACUCUCCACCUCUAUCCAAUCUCAAUGUCUUUAAAUUAAGGCCACUCUGUUUCUCAACAUAGACUUUGAAUUCUUUAAAUUUGCCAAAAGCUUCGGAUUUUUCUCUCAAAAAAUAAGCCCAUGUUUUUCUAGUAAAAUCAUCGACAAAAAUUAGUGUGUACCUUUUUUGUCCAAAUGAUUCUACCUCAACAGGACCACAGAUAUCUGCAUGUACCAACUUCAGAGGUUGCUUGGCUCUUCUAGCUCUCCCAAUUGGAAACGAUUUCCGAUGUUGCUUUCCAACGAGACAUCCUUCACAUGAGCGGUCUGGAGCAUCGAUCAAGGGCAUGCCAGUCACCAUCUUUUUCUGGACUAGUAAUUUAAGUCCACGAAAAUUUAGAUGACCGAACCGAAGAUGCCAUAGCCACUUGCUAUCUUUUGUCGUUGCUUGGAAACUCAAUAGAGUCUUCGUCUGAAGGGAUAGAGGAAACAUCCGGUUCUUCGUCAUCUGUGUCGUCGUAAUCAACUUAUUGUUUGAGCCUCUAAUGGUGCACACACCAUUUUCAAUGUUAACUUUGUGGCCUUUUUCGGAUAGUUGCCCAACACUCGGCAAAUUCCAAAAGAGUCCCACCACAAAGUAAACGUCUGCAAUAGUAACAUUAGUACCAUCUUUUGAGUUGAUAUCAAUGUUACCUUUGCCCAUCACGAGAAUUUUGGAUUUAUUCCCGAAGUUGACUUCACCACGAACCGUCUCAUCUAACUUCGAAAAUAGCUCCUUUUGACCACACAUGUGAUUGCUGCACCCAGUAUCAAGAUACCAAAUUUUUGUGUCCAUGGUACUUGAGUCAUCCAUUUGGCAUGCUAACACCACGCCUUCAUUUGCAUUGACAGCGUGCACAUAUUCUGGCUGCUCUUGCCCCCUGUUUGCUCGACAUUCGGAUUUGUAAUGUCCGAAUUUGUUACAGUUAAAACACUUGACUUUUGAUUUGUCACGUGUUUGAUAUCUUUUAGUGGAAUUCAGAUUUCCACCUCUACCUCGGGCACCACCACGACCUCCACGACCUCGGGCACCAUGAUGACCUCCUCGAUUUGAUUGAGUGACCCGACUUUGCAGUGCUUGCUCAGAAUUCGAACUGAUAGACUUUUGGUUCAUUCUUUGCUCAUGCGAACAUAAUGAACCCAUCAACCUCUCCAACGUCAUGGUUGAUAUAUCUUGGCCUUCUUCGAUCGCCGCAACGACGUAGUCAAAUCUUUCAGUCAAAGACCUCAAAAUUUUUUCUACGACUCGUACAUCUUGGAGCUCUUCACCAUUAACCCUCAGUUGGUUAACGAUGGUUUGUACACGAUCAAAGUAAGCCGAGAUAGAUUCUGAGUCAUUCAUGCGUAAAGACUCAAAAUCUCCUCGAAGUGUUUGGAGCCGCACCCGCCUGACACGAUCAUCACCUUUGUAGGAUUUUUGCAAUAUAUCCCACGCUUCUUUCGCUGUCUCCGCACUCGAUAUUUUCUCAAAUAUCGUCUCCUCCACAGCUUGAAAGAUCGCAUAUAAUGCUUUCUGAUCUUUCUUUCGAGAUUCCACCAACGCUUCUUUCUCCUCCUUCCUCAAAGCAUUGAAUUCUUCAACAUCAGCUACUUCGGUGUAGCCGUUCUCCACCAGGUUCCACAAAUCUUGGGACCUGAAUAGAACCUUCAUCUGGACGGACCAGUUGUUGUAAUUUUUUCCAUUCAACUUUGGAAGUUGCAACUGAACAGAACUAGUGGAUGCCAUUGCUAGCUCUGAUACCAAUUGUUGGAACCAAAAGGACUUGGAGGGAGAGAGUACACACACAAAGAGAGAUUAUAUUACACAAUAUGCCUUUGUAAAGGCUUAAGAGAGUACACACACUAACUUUGCUAAGCUUAAAACUCUCUCUAAAAUCUCCUCUCUCACUCACAAAAAGAAAACUAACGUAACCCUAUAUCAAUAAGCACUUCACUGCCUGGACUUCAAACAUGCAAGAGUUGAAGUUGAAUUUUUCUUCUUGGCAGUCAAAAAUUGUGGGCUGCGUUUCCUUCACGUGCAAGUUGCAAGCCACAAGAUCACCUUCCUUCGUACUUCUUGAGAUCUCCAGCAGCUAGUGUAAUAAUAUUUUAUUGUGUGCCCAAGAUACUUGUACUUUCUUCAUGAUUUUUCUUCUCCGGCGGCUUAGAAAGACGUGGUGCUGUAGCACACGUUUCUUUGACGGUUUACAAACCGACUAACUCUUGCUUUCACACACAUAGCCAAAAAACAAUUAAAAGACAAAUAAGAUAAUCAAAACACAAAACCAAUUUUACUAUUUUCUAACAAGCCUGGCAUCACACUUGCCAUCGGCUGUUGCUGACUUUGUAGCAUUGUCUUCAAUUUCUCGAACAGAUCCGCCUUCAAUGGUUUUGUCAAAAUAUCUGCAAUCUGGUCUUCGGAUUUACAGAAAUCAAGUUCAAUCUCAUCUUCUUUAAUCAGCUCACGAAUAUAAUGAUACUUGAUGUCGAUAUGUUUGCUCCUGCCAUGAAAUACAGGAUUCUUGGCCAAUGCAAUUGCUGACUUGUUAUCACACAUCAAUUUAGUAGGACCUUUUUGUUCAUGCAUAAGCUCAAAAAGCAUCCUUCGAAGCCACAUCGCCUGACAUGCUGCUGAAGAUACUGCAAUGUAUUCUGCUUCAGUUGUUGAGAGUGCAAUAACUUGUUGUUUCUUUGAUGACCAAGAAAUUAUUCCUGAUCCAAGAAAGAACGCAUAUCCAGAAGUGCUCUUUCGUGUUUCAGUAUCACCUGCCCAAUCACUGUCUGUAUACCCCACUAAACUGAAGUUGUCAGUGUAAGAAUAUGAAAUUCCAUGAUCACGAGUUCCACUGACAUACCUUAAAAUUCUUUUUGCUGCUUGCAAAUGUGAUUGGUAUGGUUUCUCCAUAAACCGACUAAUAAUUCCCACGCCAUAAGUUAUAUCUGGCCUAGUGGUAGCCAAAUAUCUUAAACUGCCGACAAUACUUUUGAAAUAAGUGGGAUUUACCAGUUCACCGGUUCCUUCUUUCUUCAACUCCAACCGUUCUGCUACAGGAGUUCGAAUUGAUUUGAGCGUUUCCAUAUUGAAUCGCUUCAAAAUAUCAUUAGCAUACUUCUGCUGUGAAACAAAUAUGCCUUCAUUUGUCUGCUUCACUUCAAGGCCCAGAAAAUAGGACAUUAAUCCCAAGUCCGUCAUCUCAAAUUGACUUGUCAUGGCCUCCCUGAAUUCAGCAAACAUCUUCUCACAGCUUCCUGUAAAUAUCAAAUCAUCAACAUAAAGGCAAAUAAUUAUAAUAUUGCCGUUAGUAUUUGAUUUGAUAUACAGUGUAUGCUCAUAAGGGCACUUUUGAAAGCCAUGCUCCAACAGGUAAGUAUCAAUCCUCGUGUACCAAGCUCGAGGUGCCUGUUUUAGCCCAUACAACGCUUUCUUCAAUUUAUAAACUUGAUUUUCACGCCCUUUCUUCACAUAACCUUGUGGUUGCUCCACAUAUACUUCCUCAUCAAGAAAACCAUUAAGGAAUGCCGAUUUCACAUCCAUUUGAUGGAUUUUCCAACGGUUCUGAGCUGCAAGUGCCAAGAUCAUUCGAAUGGUAUCCAUUCGAGCCACCGGUGCAAAUACUUCAAAAUAAUCAAUACCUGGCUUUUGCUUGUAGCCUUUCACCACCAGUCUAGCUUUGUAACGGUCCACCUGACCGUUGGGUUUGCACUUCGUUUUGUACACCCACUUGACACCUAUAGGCUUCUUACCAGGUGGUAAAGAAGUUAGCACCCACGUGUCAUUCUUUUCAAUGGAGUGGAUUUCUUCAUCCAUUGCUUGGUUCCACUUCUCAUCUGCUGCUGCAUCAUCAUAGGAUAUGGGGUCACAUUCGGUAAAUAAACAAAAGUUUACCAUUGUUUCAUCAGUGAUUUCGUCACUGUCAUUAUGAUCAACUCUUGUGACCACAUAAUCCUUGAAUUUUACUGGCGUCUUUUGCGGUCGUUGUGAACGACGAAUCAAUGGUUCUGCAGUCGUUGCUGGUGAGGAGGAUGAACUACCAGGUGAAAGUGAUGGAUCUUCAAUUGAAGAUUCUUCGGUCUCCCUCAUCAAUGGUUCAUCUUCCAUAGGAAUGUCUUUCUGGUCAGCCUUUUGAUUCCAGUCCCAGGCUUCAUCUUCAAAAAAUUGGACAUCCCUGCUAAUAAUUACCUUCUCCGUGACAGGAUUAUAUAGCUUAUAACCCUUAGUCACAUUACUAUAUCCAAUGAAAAUGCACUUCUCGCUUUUAUCAUCCAACUUUUUUCUUCGUUCGUCCGGUAUAUGGGGAUAUGCUACACACCCAAAUACCCGUAGGAACGAAACAUCUGGCUUGUUGCCGCUCCAAGCCUCUUCUGGAGUUCUUCCAAGAACACUCCUUGUUGGACACCUAUUCAACACAAAUACAGCACAAGCAACGGCUUCCGCCCAAAACUUCUUCGGUAAUGCUUUAGCCUUUAGCAUACUUCUUGCCAUUUCAAAAAUUGUUCUAUUCUUUCUUUCUGCUAUACCGUUUUGCUGAGGAGUAUAGCUAGCAGUCAACUGACGUUUCAAUCCAUGAAUUUUACAAUAAUUGUCAAAUUCAUUGGAAGUAAACUCUCCACCUCUAUCCGAUCUCAAUGUCUUUAAAUUAAAGCCACUCUGUUUCUCAACAUAGACUUUGAAUUCUUUAAAUUUGCCAAAAGCUUCGGAUUUUUCUCUCAAAAAAUAAGCCCAUGUUCUUCUAGUAAAAUCAUCGACAAAAAUUAGCGUGUACCUUUUUUGUCCAAAUGAUUCCACCUCAACAGGGCCACAGAUAUCUGUAUGUACCAACUCCAGAGGUUGCUUGGCUCUUCUAGUUCUCCCAAUUGGAAAAGAUUUCCGAUGUUGCUUUCCAACGAGACAUCCUUCACAUGAGCGGUCUGGAGCGUCGAUCAAGGGCAUGCCAGUCACCAUCUUUUUCUGGACUAGUAAUUUAAGUCCACAAAAAUUUAGAUGACCGAACCGAAGAUGCCAUAGCCACUUGCUAUCUUUUGUCGUUGCUUGGAAAUUCAAUAGAGUCUUCGUCUGAAGGGAUAGAGGAAACAUCCGGUUCUUCGUCAUCCGUGUCGUUGUAAUCAACUUAUUGUUUGCGCCUCUAAUGGUGCACACACCAUUUUCAAUGUUAACUUUGUGGCCUUUUUCGGAUAGUUGCCCAACACUCAGCAAAUUCCAAAAGAGUCCCGGCACAAAGUAAACAUCUGCAAUAGUAACAUUAGUACCAUCUUUUGAGUUGAUAUCAAUGUUACCUUUGCCCAUCACGAGAAUUUUGGAUUUAUUCCCGAAGUUGACUUCACCACGAACCGUCUCAUCUAACUUCGAAAAUAGCUCCUUUUGACCACACAUGUGAUUGCUGCACCCAGUAUCAAGAUACCAAAUUUUUGUGUCCAUGGUACUUGAGUCAUCCAUUUGGCAUGCUAACACCACGCCUUCAUUUGCAUUGACAGCGUGCACAUAUUCUGGCUGCUCUUGCCCCCUGUUUGCUCGACAUUCGGAUUUGUAAUGUCCGAAUUUGUUACAGUUAAAACACUUGACUUUUGAUUUGUCACGUGUUUGAUAUCUUUUAGUGGAAUUCAGAUUUCCACCUCUACCUCGGGCACCACCACGACCUCCACGACCUCGGGCACCAUGAUGACCUCCUCGAUUUGAUUGAGUGACCCGACUUUGCAGUGCUUGCUCAGAAUUCGAACUGAUAGACUUUUGGUUCAUUCUUUGCUCAUGCGAACAUAAUGAACCCAUCAACCUCUCCAACGUCAUGGUUGAUAUAUCUUGGCCUUCUUCGAUCGCCGCAACGACGUAGUCAAAUCUUUCAGUCAAAGACCUCAAAAUUUUUUCUACGACUCGUACAUCUUGGAGCUCUUCACCAUUAACCCUCAGUUGGUUAACGAUGGUUUGUACACGAUCAAAGUAAGCCGAGAUAGAUUCUGAGUCAUUCAUGCGUAAAGACUCAAAAUCUCCUCGAAGUGUUUGGAGCCGCACCCGCCUGACACGAUCAUCACCUUUGUAGGAUUUUUGCAAUAUAUCCCACGCUUCUUUCGCUGUCUCCGCACUCGAUAUUUUCUCAAAUAUCGUCUCCUCCACAGCUUGAAAGAUCGCAUAUAAUGCUUUCUGAUCUUUCUUUCGAGAUUCCACCAACGCUUCUUUCUCCUCCUUCCUCAAAGCAUUGAAUUCUUCAACAUCAGCUACUUCGGUGUAGCCGUUCUCCACCAGGUUCCACAAAUCUUGGGACCUGAAUAGAACCUUCAUCUGGACGACCAGUUGUUGUAAUUUUUUCCGUUCAACUUCGGAAGUUACAUCUGAACGGAACUAGUGGAUGCCAUUGCUAGCUCUGAUACCAAUUGUUGGAACCAAAAGGACUUGGAGGGAGAGAGUAUACACACAAAGAGAUAUUAUAUUACACAAUAUGCCUUUGUAAAGGCUUAAGAGAGUACACACUAACUUUGCUAAGUUUAAAACUCUCUCUAAAAACUCACUCUCUCACAAAAACACUCUCACACACUGAACUAACGUAACCCUAUAUCUAAAAGUACUUCACCGCAUGGACUUCAAACCUGCAAGAGUUAAAUUUGAACUUUACUUCUUGGCAGUCAAAAAAAAACGUGGGCUGCGUAUCUCUUCUUCUUGCUGUCUUCAGAGAGAAUAAAAUAUUGCCAUCCCCAAGUUGCUUUCCUUCCUUUCCUUCGUGCUCUUGGAGUCUUCAGCAGCAACUAUAAUAUUUUAUUGUGUGCCCAAGACUUGUACUUUCUUCAUGAUUUUUCUUCUCCGGCGGCUUAGAGAGACGUGGUGCUGUAGCACACGUUUCUUUGACGGUUUACAAACCUAAUAACUCUUAUUUACACACACAGCCAAAAAACAAUUAAAAGACAAAUAAGCUAGUCAAAACACAAAACCAAUUUUACUAUUUUCUAACACGCCAUCUCCGAUCGAAGCUCCUUCCCUUCAACUAUUCAUCACCAAAGCAGAGGCGGAAAAAGGGCGAGGAAAUUGCCGGCGUCUCCGAUGUCGACGAGCUUCUAAUCUGGUGUGGAGCGAAGAAGAGGAGGGGCGACCGGGACCGGGUGCAGUCCGUUUCCGGAAUUUGGAUAUAUAAUCCGUGGGCUCUUCCUUCAAGCUCUUCUUGACUCGGCUAGGCGGUUUAACCCCCCCUUCUCCGGUUUUCCUUCCUCCCCCAGGGUCUUUCCUCGGAAAAGAGACAAAAGAAAAGUAUCAUCUCCAUUUUCAUUUUCAUUUUUAUUUUUUUUUGCUUUUCUGGUGGCGUACUCUGAGAAUAUUUCCCGAACGAGGCCACAAUUUUCACCCUCUUUUACCGCAAAGGCCCAUCGAAAGGUGGGCGGCAACUUGCGUUUUUUCACCCCGGGAGUCUCUCCCCUAAUAUUUGCCACUGCGAUCAUACGAUGAAAACUCGAAAUUAAUAUACUUACAAUAAAUUAAUUUUGAAUUAAUUUUUUAACUGUCAAAAACUUCAAACUGAUAAACUCUUUGUUAGUUUACAUUAAAUUUUACCAUUAAAUUAAUAAUAUAUGAUAAUUCAUGAACGUACUAGUUUGGAGACUUACUUUUUAUUUAUCAUAUAUGUUCUACUUUGUGAUUUUUUAAGGUAUUGAUCUAAUUUAAAGACUAAAGUAGAGUAAAACUAUCAUAAAUAUACUAUUUUGAUAUUUUGAGUAAUAAAAAAAUCAAUUUAGAGUAAAUUUAUCAUAUAUAUAUAUAUAUAUAUCAAUGUUAAUCCAUUGCUCAAAUAGCUCAAACUUCGAUUACGACAUAAAGUCCAUUUUCCAUUGAGAAAGUACAAGUUGGUGUUGGGUGUUGAUAGUCCAUAGUUCAUACAAGGGAAAGGGAAAGAAUAUUAUCGAAGAAUACAAUGUAGCAAAAUGAAAAGUAAGGGGGGACCAAAAUCGAAAGAUGUAUUUGCACGUUUUUUCUAUCAUAUCCACACUCUCCACCAAUCAAAGGCGCACGGGUGACGUAUUUCGUUCAUACCCCUUGCUCUGAUUGCCACGUUCGUAGUCUUAUCGCUAUCCCCAAAAUAUAGUAAAAGCCCUACACCCACUAACCAAUAAAAAGUUUGAGAAAGAUGUCGUGGCAACCUGGCAGGGACUUCAAUUGCCGCCUUAUUUUCAGAUGAUACCAGCCAAAAAAAGAAAAAGACAAAAAAGAACAACUAGUAGUUAAACAGUCAACCAUGGCCCUUUUCAUAUUGACUUGGGAAAUGAUGCACGGGGGCUAGAAGCCCGGGACAGAACAGACGCCUUCAACUCCAGAAAAUAUUUUGGUGCCUCUCACGUAACUAGCAUAACAAAACAAAAAAAAAAAAAAAAGAGAUCUAAAGAGGUGAGGCACGUUUAAAGUAGGCCCAAACGCCAGAUUCCCAUGCACGCUCUCUCCUAUCUCCUCUCUUUGCCCAAAUGCCAUACUCCUCUACACACGCUCUCUCUCUCUCUCUUCGCCACCCCCUCUCUAUCCCUCUGAGCCCUCGUUUGACCGACAAGCUUUCCCCCAAUGGAGGCAAAGCCACGUUUAUUCGUCCAAUUUAUUCGUCCAAUGAGGGUUCGAUCGUGACUUGAAGGGGAAAAGAGAGAACAGUCGAUGGGGGGUAGCGAGCUAUCAUCAGACCAGCGCUGUGGCUCGUCGGUUAGACAAGGGCACGAUGGCUCGUUCGCCGAACCACCGCACAUGCCUCGAGGUUGUCUACACCGUUGCGAAGUUCAUCGAUCAAGCAUGGUGGCUCAUCUAACAAACCAUCGCGGGGCUCUGCCUCCGCUUAGAAAGAUUACCUCCUCUAGCACUAGCCGACCCCAACGGAGAAGAAGAUGAACAGUCGCAAAUAAGGGCAAAAUCGAAAAAUCAAAAAGUCAGCCAAGAUAUUGGGUGUUUGAUAGAAUUUUUGAACCCACCUUGAGAAAAAGUUUGCAUUUAAAAGGCUAAAAGCUCGAGGAGAUUGUAGGUUAUCUUAGGCUUCCAUCCUUCUCAAUAUGCAAGAAGGCAGGGGGAGGUAAAAAAAUUUCUUUUUAAACUAUCCUUCCUAACUUUUUGAUUUUCCGAUUUUGCCCUUAUUUGCGACUAUUCGUCUUCUUCUUUGUGGGGGCUAGCUAGCGUGUCGACAAUGGGCCAAAGAGAGGUUGGUGUAAUUGUAGCGAUCUAGGCGAUCGUCGCCGAGGGUCAUGUGACCUGGGUGAGUGCCAUCUAGGUUGCACAAGGUAGCCUAAGGUCACUUGAUCCGAACAGUAGAUGGCCCUCGUCACUUGCAAAACCCCGACAAGAGUCUACCCUGUUUCAUGCAACCUAGUUGGCCCUUGUUAUGGUUGAGCGACCUCCGCGGGGGUCACGCUAGCAAAGGUUGCCUAGGUUUGUGUGACCUAACUAGCCCUCAUUGGAGUCAAGCAACCUCGACAAGGGGUUGCGCGAGCUAUGCGACCUAGCUAACCCUCAUUGGGGCGAAGCAACCUUCACGAGGGUCACAUCGAUGAGGGCUACUUGGGUUUUGCAUGACCUAGCUAGCCCUUAUGAGGGUCGAGUGACCUUUAUGAGGGGUUGCCUGGGUCACACGACACUCAUUAGGGCUCGCCCAACCCUAGGCAGCCUUCACCAAUGGUCUCUAGGGCAGAUGACCACCAUCGGCAACAGAUCAAGAUCGCCUACCCUUGGUUUAUUAGGGCUAGUUAUUUUAUUUUUUUUAUAAAAAAAAACUAAAAUGCUUUGUAUGUAUAAUUUUUUCAAAUAUUAUUUUACUCAAAAGUACUUCACAAUGAACUCUUAGAGUAUAAUUUAAUAAACAUGAUUUAUAUUUUGAAAAAAAAUUUUAACUUAAAAGUUCUUUGCAUUUUUUCAAAGGCUUUUUUAAAAAUCCAACGAGAGGCGCGUGCACAAGGGAGUCUAGCAUUUGGGCGAGAGAGAGGAGAGAACAGCACGUGCAGCAUUUGGACGAGAGAGAGGAGAGAGGAGAGCAUGCAAGGAAGUGACGUUUGGACCCACUUUGGACAUGUGUCACCAUUUUAGGUCUUUUUCUUUUUUAAUUAUGCUGGCUACACAAGAGGCAUCUAAUAUUUUCUUCAAAUCUAGAUGUGAUAUGAAGAGAUGGCAAGAUUGUCACCUCGAACGUCGAUUACAUAAAUGAUAACAUAGUAUCAGCAUCUACAAAAAGCCUAUCAGAAUAACAAGUCAUAUCUCAAUGUAUUACUUCGCUAGUCCCGUGCCAUCGGAUACACUUGACCCAAUGUGUGCUCCAGUCAAGCAGCGACAACUGCAUCGGUCGGCAAUAGCUUCAGGGGCGACCACCAAAGCAGUUGUUGCCUCCUCUAAAGCAUCAGCCACUGCGGCAUCACUGACUUCAGGGUCAUCUGUGUUGGGUGCCGAUGGCGGCCAAAGCUUCAAGUGGGACGGAGCACUGUGCUUCAAGAGAAUCUGUUGCAACCUUGAAAUUUCGGUUGGUUUUCCUGGUUUAGGGGCUCGGACAACGACAACAGAGGGCUUCUUCUCUUUGAUCCUUCUUUCCUCUCUUAUUUUCUAUGGUGGGAACUUCAUUAGGGAGGAGCUCUACAAUCGCCUUCCAGUAGUUCUUGUCAGCCUCAGUGUGCCUCAGUGUGGAACUUCCGUAGGCUAGCCAAAAACAACUGAACCACGAAGGACAUAGCAUCAGAAAAGGCCAAUAACAUUACCAUGACAACAUCCCCUACCAGAUUGCCAAAGGUGACCGCAUAAAAGCAAUGGUCCUAUGCAACUAUCAGUGCUAUGAUUUUUCGUGUUAUUUCACCCCGUACUGGAUUAAACAAUAGAUAAGAUGUCCUUGAUGUAUCAUAAUGAACAUAACCUAUGACAUUAACCCAAUUUAAUUUCAGACUAGUUAAGUUCAACUACAUUCAGUUUCUUCCCCAUCCUAUGCAACUUGUGUUAUUUCACCCAGUCCCAAUAGUAUUAAGUCCUAGAUGUAUUGUAACGAGUACAACAUUGACACUAGUCAGAUUUCUAACUAGUUGAGGUCAAAGACAUUUUGAUUUUCCCCAUCCUACAUGAUACCAAAUGUCCCAGGAAAUAACCGAGAUUCUAAUCACUUUCAUAUGAUAUGAACACACGCUAGUAAUCUACUUUAAUUUGGUCCUAGAAUCUACUCUCCAUAAUCGCCGGUGUAUUUAUAGCACUAAUAACAAUUCCCCAAACACAUCGUGCCCUUUACCCUUCUCCACCAACUACAAUGCAUUUUACCUCAUUAUAUCGAAUAAUGUCGGAUGGUGUGCACUACCAUAAAAAGGUAUGAGGCUAAAGUGCAGUUCAAACACAUGAUAUACCAUUGGCGUGCCCCUCCUUUGCAAAAAUACUAUUUGAUCGUAGUGGGCAUUCGAUACUUAGAAUUGUUUCUAAAGGGUACUUUAACUUGAUUGACUCCAAUUUGCAAGCAUGGGAGCUACUAACGCUUCUCAUACCUUAGACAUUAUCAGCCUACAUUAACAGAAGGCUGAUGCAUUGGAACUUAAAUUUCAAAUCUUGAGUCAGCAUUAUGCAGUUCUUCACAAUGAUUGCAAAAGAUCAAUUUUAAAUCAAUUUGAUUAACUGUUGCAAGUUUAAAAAUCAAAUACCAUGGCUUGAAUAUUCCACUAACAGUCGUCAGCACAACUUCCAUGAAUUAAAUGAUCACAAUUUAAUGCACUGGGCCAAAUUGUUAAAAAAAUACAUAUAAAAUUCAAGUAUGAACAAAAGAUAAACAUCAUGAAUUAAGUUUGCAAUUGCAGAUUGGAAGGGCUCGCCUUCUCAUUUUCCCCGUUGGUUGUCUUGUUGUUCUAACAUGUUAUCAUCCUUUUCCUGUAGAACUCAAUUUUAUACUCAUCUGCUUCACCAAUUAUUUGGUUUUUUUUUUGGUCGAAACACCAAUUAUUUGGUUCAAUAGCUCUUUCUCCAUCUUCUCUUUCUCUUCCAAUCGAACUGCAUUUUUCCUUUGCAUUGCAACAAAUUUUUAUUAUAAUAUAUCACGUAGAGAAGGGGAAAAAAAAAAAAAAGAGGAAGUACAUAGUGCCCCACAAAAGCAGGAAUUUUGCUUUGAUCAAGGUUAACAGUCACCAGCACUGAAGGGAUUUACAAGUAAAGCAAGACCUUAUAUUAUUUCUUUAGUAAAGUCUAAGCACAGAAUUGAACAAUGGGUAAUUAAAUUCGUACCUAAUCAUUGGGUAAUAUCAUAUUGGAACUCUUGGAUUUCUAAUAUCCACUGUCGUCCUUUAAAAACUUUGAAGCUAUGCGAUAAUCAUACUUUCAAAACUAUUAAAUCAAUCCAGUCGUUAUUUCAUGGUGGUUUGGUCCUUCAAUAAAUAAGCAGUCAUUGGCUUUGAUUUCAACGUUCCCCCUCCCCUCAAUCCCCAUCCCUCUCCUCUUGAGGGCUUCUACAAUCGCCUAAGUUGGUUAACAUUAGAUCAGGCAAGAAUUAAUUCCAUUCACUACGGCAUUUUCAUGUUAUUGUGUGCUAAGGCUUUUUCUAUAGGAGCUACGACAAAAUGCAUGUGAUCUCACGGAAAAAAAAAGAGUAUAUAUAUAUUAUCUUCAAAAUCUAGAUAAGAUCGCAUGGACUCAAUUGUGAAGGCCAUGGAAAUCCAUAAGCAGAUGGGAAUUUGAGAUUCUGCAAGCCCCAGGACAAUCACACAAAGUUAACAGGAUUUUCGAGAAGUGAGAGAAUUCUGGGGCUGCUAUUAGCCAUUAGGUGGGUAUGAGUGUCGAGGGUUCUCGUCCCAAUUGUCCCAGGUCCCUUCCAAUCCCCAACUUGCGAAUUCAAUCUCUGAAGCAUUGCAAAGAUCAUAAUUUUUCCCACAGAAUUAGCACCACUACGAGGUCAUCUGAAGUGAUCCUACAUGAUAACAGUACUAAGAUGCUCUAACAGCCAAAAAAAUUCCCUCUAUUCACUCAAAAGUGCGGCUUUCUCUUUCUAGAAGUCUAUUUUCCCCGACUUAACUCAGCGAUUAUAGCAUCACUUUCAUAGCACGAGAAUCAUCGGUAUUGCUCUUUAAGCUAAUCAUCGCACUACACUUAAGAUCAGAGAACAAAGCUCUUCAAACCACCACACUGAUAUGACCACAAGACAUCUCUCCCCAGAGAGAAUGAUCCAUAGAAGACUCAAAAUUCUGUAACAUCGCGAGACUCACAUCCUCCACUCUCUCAAAGCAAAUUGUUCCUCAGGCUGCAUCUCCAUCGGGGGUGGCAAAACGGGGCCGUCCGCCUCGUCCGUCGAGAACUGCCCAGCCACAGCGUAGACCGGACAGUCGGCCGGCACAUGCUCCAAGAAAAAACCAUCCACGGAAGCGAAGCCGCCGGCAUCGUCGUCGUCGUCACCCUCCUCCUCCUCAAGUGAAUAGACCAUUCGCUCAGACAACUCUCGACCGACCACUCUCACAUACCUCUGCACUUGGGCUUCGAGCUCAACAAGACCAAAGGCCCCUUGCAGAUCCUUCAUAGAAGAAAUAGACCAGUGAGCCAUUUGGUGUAUCAAGUGUACAUACAGGCAACUCACAAGACGGAUCUCUGUUCAAGACACCAAGUAGAUUAUGUAAUUAUGUGAGUUCCAUCAAUUGAAAAAAACACACUUAAUUCUUUUUCUGUGAGGGGUAAAAUCAACUAAAUAAUUGGAGGCACGAAUUAGAGAAAAGCAGGGCACUAGCUGAAGAACUGUCCAGACAAUAACCCAUUGGCUUCUCUUCUCUAUAUUAACCAAAAUGCCAGUGGAAACUCAAAAUGACAUUCAACAGUGAAACAUCCAAUAACAGACGCAAAAGGAUCUUCUCACCCAAUAAGAAAGGAGAUUUAGAGUUGCUGAUGAACUUUUCAUACCUUGUAUCUCAGGCGAGACCCCCGUAAUCCUAUUAGAGCUUUUCCAAUAUCCCUAUCCUCCAUUUCAGAAACUGGAGGCAGCACUGGCUUUUCAUCUUCAUCUUUAUAAUCUGACAGGACAACAUACUUUCUUUCAUCAAGCUGAGGCUUUGCAACGUUGAAGGGAACCCACCUGAGAUAUGCAUUAACUAGCUUGCACAUUAACUUUGACAAUAUGCACAGGUACUUAUUGCAAGUGUAAAAGAAUAACAGAACUCACAUAAUGACUAUUAAGUGUGAAGUAGUUGAACUAGGAGGGAUGAUGAAUUUAAAAGUUCACUUCCUCGCAAUUUGCAAGACACUGAAGAAAUAAAGUCUCAUCCAAAGAAGAAGGAGAGUGCAAGAGGGACGUACGAGUAACGGAGGGGACAUAGAAGCUCAGAUGGCCAAUACGCUGCUUUAUAUCUCAUCUUGCUGCAUGAAUGAAUGUAAUAGCCAAGGUAAUAAUACUGAAGACUGGGGCAGUGAACUUGAUUCUCCUUCACCCAAGAUAUUUCUUUCAAAGCCGAAUAUUUUCCCAAAGAUAAAAAGGCAAAGUCAGGGUCCCAAAAUAAAUAUUUACUCGACAAGCAUUUAGGAAGGAUAUCCACCACACCAACCGCAACUAAUCGGCCAUCAAUAACAUAUGACUGAUGGAAAGACCCAAAACCGCAGGGAGGAACUGAACCAUCACCGGUCGAGGGAACAAAAACCAAUGGUGUGUCAACCAAAAAACUCUCAUACCCUUCCUCUGUGAUAUCGUCUGGAUUGUCCUUGUGCACUUUCAACUGAUAUCGCCUAUACAACUCAAAUUCUUCACGCUCAAAACUGGAUCUUUUCAGAAGAAUCUCAAGCUUCCGCCUUUUUCCUGAACAACAGUUACAGCACCUCACCAUACAUCUUCUCUUGUUUCCAUUUCUCGUUGAAGAUUCUUUAGAGAGAGAUUUUUCUUCGCCAGUCUUAUCCGCUGAAGCAUGCUCUGCAAUAGAAUAAAAGUUCAGAUGUCCGUUACAUGCUUGGACCAAGAAGCCAGAUGUUUCAUCCGUUUGAGACAAUGACCGCGCCAACUUUUCUCCAAUCCUUCGAGGUGUCAACUCAGAAGGCAGUUGGUCUUCUGCUGAGAUUCCAGAGAAUUCUGACCCUUUUUCAUCCUUUUUUUCUGACCGCGCACGCCUUAAAGUGGCAGCCAAUUGGAAAGCAAUGUUACUGGUAUACGAGAGAUUUUCCAAUCCUUUGACUAGCUUCUUCUUCUUGGUUGGGGAGACUCCUUUGACAGAAGCUUUAGGUAAUUGAAGAUUGGCAGAAAACGUCUCGCUUUCGAUACAUGCCUGCACAGCCUUAUCAAUUGCAUCAGACAAGUAAUGCAUAAAUUGUUCUGGCUCAUUCUUAUCCUCCUCCACGUCCACAGAAGUUUCAACCGUUGCCAAGUUUGACCUUCCAUGACAUUCACAUUCACAUGCCACUUUAGAAGUAUUUAAAUCCUCCAGGAGCUCAGGCUUGGCUUUGGUGUCCAGUGUACCAUCCAGAAACCUAGAAAAUAAUCACCAUGGUGAGAAAUUCUUGUACAUUAUAUCCAGAGUAUGCAGCUUUGCUAAAUCCUCACCUCAAAGGUAUAAUUCGGUUGAAAUGCACAAGUAGCCUAACAAUUUUCGCAACCAUUGCACUUGUUAAGUUUAGCUUCAUGGUGUAAAAAGACCGAGAAAUUUCUCAAGCAGUUAAAAAGCAAAGCUCUUUCACUUUGAGAAAUCUCCUAGGUUGGAAAGCUUAGUGACGUCAAACUAAAAUUCCACUCAUGGAGUUGUCCGUUGAAAUACCAUUCCAAUGCCUACCAGCCUCAAAGUGGGCAAAUAGUAUUUUUGAUGACCACUGCUCUAAUCAAUUGACAAAGAAUGGACUCCAAACUCGAAUGCUGUCUUGAAAACAGGGUGGUGGUCGAUUUUGCAAAAUGCAACGACGACGGAAUGAUGAAAAAAAAUCAUAUGUGAAGAUGCAACGAUCCAAUGAAUAGAAUCCAUAAUGUAGAGAGGUUAUUAAAGUAAUACCUUUCCAUCCGUCUGCAUACUCGAUUUUGCUCCUUGGAAGGAGAAAAGUCCGCUGCUUUUAAGCGGAUAGUAUAAGAAGGGCAACACGUAGUACUCAUAUCUGGCUUGUAAAGGACAGAGCCAGAUCUUCUCCAUCCUCGAUCAAGGAGAUCUACAGGAUGAGUAUCGAAGUAUGAAUUGCCACUCAAAAGAUAAAUGCACAAUCAUCGAAUGUACUAUAACAUCUAUCCGAGCCAUCAUUGCCACAGUAAGAAAACUAUUGGGAUAGAAACGACUCGAGUCGGAACUUCAGCAUCCACCAUAGCUCCAACAUGGUUUCUCUGAGCUCUUGCAGUUAAAAUACGCACAUACGGAAGCAUACGUGCGUGUCUUAACUGCUGAUAGAAUGAGUAGGCAUAAAUUUCCCUCAUACGGAUCAAGCAUUCGAAAUUUCUCUACUUCUUUCGACCAGACAUGUGCACAUAUUGAAACUACAUGAGCCGAGAGUCGAUUAGUUACAGCGCAUCGACAGUCCAGAGCUGCCCAGACUCUCAAAAUAGGAAAUCCCGCACCAACCUUGAUAGUCAUCCACGUUUAGGCUCUCCGCGAUCAAGCCUGCGAUCCAAGUCGAAGAGACGUUAAAAAACAAACAAUCCGAAACGGGAAAAAAUUCGUCACAGCAAGCCGACACACGCAACGAAGCGUCAGAUUGGAACUAAAGACUAAACGCGAAUCAGCAAUUCCAGCGACCGUGAACGUCACGACAGUCGACAAAAGCCGGAAAAAAGCAAACCCCGAAGCACGGCAUCUCCAGUCCCGAGCCACCGGAGCCCGGGCAAAAACCGUACUCAACGACACGGGAGGGAGGCAAACAACGAGAAACGAAGGAGAAACCGUACGGACCGUGAGAAACGCUGGAGGACCCAUUUGGCGAUUUGCAGUACCCGCAGGAGCUCUCCUGCCGGCCGCAGUCCUCGACCACCGACUCCCCCCUUCCGCCGCCGCCGCCGCCGGUCGCCUCGCUGCGACGGUUGGCCGCCAUCUCCGAUCGAAGCUCCAUCCCUUCAGCUGUUCGUCACCAAAGCAGAGGCAGAGAGAGGGAGAGGAAAUCGCCGGCGCCUCCGAUUUAUUUAUACGAGCUUCGAAUGGGUCGAGUGGAGAUGAGGACGGUCCGACCGGGACGGGGUGCAGUCCGUUUCCGGAAUUUGCAUAUAUAUAAUCCGUGGGCUGUUCAUUUCAAAGCCGCGAGGUGGUUUAGCCCCUUUUUUCUCCGGUUUUCCUCCCCCAGGAUCUUUCCUCGGAAAAGAGACGAAAGAAAAGUACCAUCUCAUUUGCAAAAAUAGAAAUAGCAUCGUCUUCACAAAUCAGCCUCUUUCGGACCCGACCAUGAAGAACCAUUUUUCAAAGUAAUCCAAUAUAAGGCUAUCACAUUAAAAAAACGUUGAAGAUAAUUUCAGGAGCAGAAGGUUGCAACGAAGUUGGAGUAUUGAUCCGAUCAUUUUCUCCGGAGACCCGUAGCCUUGUCGGAUUCUCUUUUGGAGCCGUGGGCUACUCUUCUCCCUGGCUGUCGCUUUUUGCUUGAAUGUCGACCGUCUAUGCCGUGCUUGUCUUUGGCGUUGCAUUGUAGGGUGUGUGCCGCGUGUUUGUGGCUUUUACAUAAUGGCAUCCUUCCACCGCUUUUGAUCUUUUGAAGUACGAGUUUUGAAGCCCUAAUCUUAUGUAUUUUUAGCCUCUUCUCAAUAUAUUUAUUUCCUUUCACCAAAAAAAAGAAAGGUAUCAUCUCCAUUUUUAUUUUUAUUUUGCCUUUCUAGUGGUGUACUCUGAGAAUAUUUCUCGAAUGAGGCCACAAUUUUCACCCUUUUUUUUUACCAAAAGGGCCCAUCGAAAGGGGGCGGCAAUUUGCGUUUCUUCACCCUGAGAGUCUCUCCCCUAAUAUUUUCGAUCCAAAUCAAUACGAUGAAAACUCCAAAUUGAUAUAUUUACAACAAAUUAAUUUAAAGCUAUUUUUUUAACUAUUACAAACUCCAAAUUGAUAAAUUCGUAAUAAAUUUAUUCUUCAUUAAUUUUCAUUAAAAAAUUUCAUUAAAUUACUAAAUUAGAUAGCACAUGACAAUAAAUAGGCGUACUAGUUUGGGGGCUUACUUUUUAUUUAUCAUAGUAUAAUAUUUUAUGAUUUUUCAUGGUAUUAAUAUAAUUUGAUAGAAACUAACGUUGAGUAAAAAAGUCACAAAUAUACUAUUUUGAAAAUUUUUGUGAUAAAAAAUUAAUUUAUGAUAAAUAUAUCAAUUUAUGAUUUUUCAUCAUAUUAAUUUGUUGCUAAAAUAGCUCAUCAUGACAUAAAGUCCGUUUUCCAUUGAGAAAGUAUCAGCUGGUGUUGGGUCCUGAUAAUCCAUAGUUCAUACAAGGGAAAGGGAAAGAAUAAUAACGAAGGAUACAAUGUAGGAAAUUGAAAAGUAGAGGAGGGCCAAAAUCGAAAGAUGUAUUUGCUCGUAUUUUAUAUCAUGUCCACACUCUCCACCAAUCAAAACGCACCUUGCUCUGACUGCCACAUUCGUAGUCUGAUCUCUAUCCCCAAAAUAUAGUAAAAGCCCUAUACCCACACAAAAAGUUUUGAGGAAGAUGUCGUGGCAGCCUGGCGGGGAUUGCCCUCCUUCUUUCAGAUGAUGAUGAUGACGACGGUGAUGGAAAGGUACUCCACUCAACACCAGCCAAAAAAAAGAAAAGAACAACUAGUAGUUAAAUAGUCGAUCCUGGCCCUUUUCAUAUCGAAGGGGAAAAUGAUGCACGGGGGGCUAGAAGCCUAGAACAGACGGCCUUCAACUCGAGAAAAUAUUUGGUGCCUGUCAUGUAACUAGCAUAACAAAAAAAGAAGAGAUCUAAAAAGGUGACACGCGAUUAAAGUAGGCCCAAACGUCAGAUUCCCAUGCACCUUCUCCUCCCUCCUCUCUCCUGUCUCUUCUCUUUGCCCAAAUGGCAUACUCCUCUACACUUUCUCUCUCUCUCUCUCUUCUCUCCCUUGCACGAUCUCUCUCUAGCCCGACUCUCCCUCUCUUCGCCACCCUCUCUCUAUCCCACCGAGCCCUCGUUUGACUGACAAACUUUGCCCCAACAGAGGCAAAGCCACGGUUUUUCGUCCAACGAGGGUUCGAUUGUGACUUGAAGGGGGAAAGAGAGAACGGCCGAUGGGGGGCAGCAAGCUAUCAUUAGACCAGCGCUGUGGCUCAUCGGUUGGACAAGGGCACUAUGGCUCGUUCGACGAACCACCACACAGCCUGACCUUGAGGUUGUCUACACCGUCACAAAGUUUGUCGAUCGAGCGCGGUGGCUCGUUCGGCGAACCACCGUGUGGCUCUACCUCCUCUUAGAAAGGUUGCCUCCAUUGGCGCUAACCAACUCCAAUGGAGAAGAGGUUGAACAAUCGCAAAUAAGGGCAAAAUUGAAAAACAAAAAAGCCAGUGAGGAUAUUGGGCAUUUGAUAAAAUUUUCAAAACUCACCUUGAAAAAAAGUUUGCAUUUGAAAAGCUGAAAGCUCUUGAGCUUUCAGCCUUCUCGGUAUGCAAGAAGGCCAUAGGAGGUAAAAAAAUUUCUUCUGAAAUUAUCCUCACCGACUUUUUGGUUUUUCGAUUUUGCCCUUAUUUGCGAUUGUUCUGCUUCUUCAUUGGGGCUGGCCAGCGUGGCUGCUAUGGCUACGAGGGGUUGGCAACGGGCCAAAGAGAGUAUGGCGCAAUCGCGGCGACCUAGGCAACCAUCCUGAGGGGAUCCUGUGACCUAGGCAAGUGCCAUAUGCAUUGCACAAGGCAGGCUAAGGUUACUCGAUCCAAACAGUAGACGACCCUCGACAAUCACACAACCUCUACAAGAGUCUGCUUGUUUCGUGAAACCUAGUUGGCUUAUAUUAUGGUUGAGCAACCUCCACGAGGGUUGUGCCGGUGAAGGUUGCCUAGGUUUGCAUGACCCAACUGGCCCUCGUUGGGGUCAAGUGACCUCAACAAGGAGUUACAUGGGCUACUUGACCUAGCUAACCCUCGUUGGGGUUGAGCAACCUUCGCAAGGGUCAUGUCGGCAAGGGCUACUUGGGUUUGCACGACCAAACUGGCCCUUGCUCAGGUCGAGUGACCUUUGUGAGGGUUGCGUAAGUCGCACAACACUCACUAGGGCUCGCCCAACCCUAAGCAGCCUUUGCUAGUGAUCUCCAAGUAGCCACCUACCCUUGGUUUGUUAGGGCCAAUUAUUAUUAUUUUUUCUUUAAUAAUUGAAAUGCUUUGUUAGUAUAAUUUUUCCAAAGACAAAUUAUUAUUAUUUUUUCUUUAAUAAUUGAAAUGCUUUGUUAGUAUAAUUUUUCCAAAUAUUAUUUUACUCAAUGGAGUCUUAGAUUACAAUUUAUUAAAAGUAAUUUGCAUAUUGAAAAACUCAUUUAACUUAAAAGUUUCCUGAAGGCUUUUCCCAAAAAUCCAACCAAAUACACCGAGAGAGAGAGCGCAGGGGGAGUCUGGCAUUUCGGCGAAAGAGAGGAGAGAGGAGAGAACAGUGCAGAGGAGAGUGGAGUGAACAAUGCGUGCAGCAUUUGGAUGAGAGAGAAGAGAGAGGAGAGAGCAUGCAAAGAAGUGACGUUUGGACCCACUUUGGACAUGUGUCGCCAUUUCGGUUCAUUUCUUUUUAUUGUGCUGACUACACAAGAAGCAUCUAAUAUUUUCUUCCUUCAACUUAGUGAAUCUAGAUGUGAUGUGAAGAGAUGACAAGACCAUCACCUCGAACAUUGAUUACAUAACGGAUAGCAUGGUAUCAACUUCUACGAAAAGUCUAUCGAAAUAACAAGUCAUACCUCGAUGUAUUACCUCCCUAGUCCUAUGCCGUCGGAUACACUUGACCCAAUGUGUGUUCCAAAAAGAGGAGCUCCACGAGUCAUGACAUUCCAGAGGAUGUAUUUUUGCUACUAAGCUAUCAACCAAGAACGAGAAUAACGGAAUUAUAGUCCUAUUGAAGCAGCGGCAACACCUUCAGGGGCCACCACCAAAGCAAUUGCCGCCUCCUCUGAAGCAUCAGCCACUGCGGCACCACUGACUUCAGGGCCAUCUGUGUUGGGUGCCGAUGCCGGCCAAAGCUUCAGGUGGGAUGGAGGGCUGUGCUUCAAGAGAAUCUAUUGCAUCCUUGAAACUUCAGUUGGUUUUCCUGGUAUAGGGGCUCGGACAACGACAACAGAGGGCUUCUUCUCUUUGAUCCUUCUUUCCUCUCUUAUUUUCUAUGGUGGGAACUUCAUUAGGGAGGAGCUCUGCAAUCGCCUUCCAAAAGUUCUUGUCAGCCUCAAUGUGGAACUUCCCGAGGCUGGCCAAAAACAAUUGAACCACAAAGGACAUAGCAUCAGAAAAGGCCAAUAGCAUUACCAUGACAACAUCCCCCACCAGACUGCCAAAGGUGACCGCAUAAAAGCAAUGGUCCUAUGCAACCAUCAGUGCUAUGAUUUUUUUGUGUUAUUUCACCCUGAACUGGACUAAACAAUAGAUAAGAUAUCCUUGAUAUAUCAUAACGAGUAUAACCUAUGACUUUAACCAAAUUCAAUUUCAGACUAGUAAGUUCAACCACAUUCAGCUUUUUCCCCAUCCUAUGCAACUUGUGUUAUUUCACCCAGUCACAAUAGAUCAAGUCCUAGAUGUAUUGUAACAACAUUGACGCUAGUCAGAUUUCUGACUAAUUGAGGUCAAAGACAUUCUGAUUUUCCCCAUCCUGCGUGAUAGCAAGUGUCCCAGGAAAUAACUGAGAUUCUAAUUACUUUCAUAUGAUAUGAACACACACUAGUAAUCUACUUUAAUUUGGUCCUAGAAUCUAUUCCCCAUAAUCGCUAGUGGAUUUAUAGAACUGAUAACCAUUUCCCGAACACAUAGUGCCCUUCACCCUUCUCCACUAACCACAAUGCAUUUUACCUCAUCAUAUUGAAUAAUGUCUGGAUGGUGUGCACUACCAUAAAAAGUAUGAGACUAAAGUGCAGCUCAAACACAUGAUAUACCGUUGGCGUGCUCCUCCUUUGCAAAAAUAUUAUUUGAUCGUAGUAGGCAUUUGAUACUUAAAAUUGUUUCUAAAGGGUACUUUAACUUGAUUGGCUCCAACUUGCAAGCAUGGGAGAUACUAACGCAUGUCAUACCUUAGACGUUAACAGAAAGCUGAUGCAUUGGAACUUAAUUUUCAACUCACGUCAGCAUUAUGCAGUUCUUCACAAUGAUUACAAAAUAUCAAUUUUAAAUCGAUUUGAUUAACUGUUGCAAAUGUAAAAAUCAAAUAUUCCACUAACAGUCGUCGGCACAACUUCCAUGAAUUAAAUGAGUACAAUUUAAUGCACUCGUGUGAUAAAACGGAAUCAUAUAAACCCACCCGGAAAAAUUGUUACAGAAACACUCACCAAAAAAAAAAAAAAAUCAAGUAUGAACAAAAGAUAAAUAUCAUGAAUUAAGUUUGCAAUUGUAGAUUGGAAGGGCUCGCCUUCACCUUUCUCCUGUUGGUUGUCUUGUUGUUAUCACAUGUUAUCGUCAUUUUUUCCUGUAGAACUCAAUUUUAUACUCAUCUGCUUCAUCAAUUAUUUGGUUCAAUAGCUCUUUCUCCAUCUUCUCUUUCUCUUCCAAUCGAACUGCAUUGUGUCCUUGCAUUGCUACAAAUUUUUAAUGACAACAGUCUUAUAAUAUAUGACGUCAAUGGAAAAAAAAAAGUACAUAGUGCCCAACAAAAGCAGGAAUUUUGCUUUGAUCAAGGUUAACAGUCACCAGCACUGAAGGGAUUUACAAGUAAAGCAAGACCUUAUAUCAUUUCUUUAGUAAAGUCUUAUUGUACAGAUGAACCAUAGUAGUAAAUUCGUACCUAAUCAUGGGCAUUUUUAUGUUAUUGGUGUGCUAAGGCUUUUCUUAUAGGAGUUAGGCGGAAAUCCCGUUUUUUUCCCCCCCCCCCCCCCCCCCUCCCCAACCACCACCAAAAAAAAUAUAUAUAUAUAUAUUUGGGGUAAGCAAAAUCACUCUUGAAAAUCUAGAUAAGAUCGCAUGGACUCAGUUGUGAAGGUCAUGAAAAUUCAUAAGCAGAUGGGAAUUUGAGAUUCUGUGAAAGCCGGGACAAUCAGACAAAGUUAACAGGAUUUUUGAGAAGUGAGAGAAUUCUAAGGCUGUUGUUAGUCAUUAGGUGGGUAUCAGUGUUGAGGGUUUCUCUCAUCCCAAUUGUUCCAGAUCCCUUCCAAUCCCCAACUUGCGAAUUCAAUCCCUGAAGCAUUGCAAAGAUCAUAAUUUUUCGCACAGAAUUAGCACCACGACGAGGUCAUCUGAAGUGAUCCUACAUGAUAACAGUACUAAGAUGCACUAAGAGCCAAAAAAAUUCUCUCUACUCACUCAAUUCACUCAAAAGCUGCUUUCUCUUUCUAGAAGUCUAUUUUCCCUGACUUCACUCGGCGAUUAGAGCAUCGCUUUCAUAGCGCGAGAAUCAUCAGUAUUGCCCUUUAACCUAAUCAUCACACUACACUUCUCAUCAGAGCACGAAGCUCUUCAAACCACCACACUGAUGUGACCACAAGAUAUCUCUCCCCAGACAGAAUGAUCCGCAGAACACAAACUCACUCUCAAAAUUCUGCAACAUCAUGAGACUCACCUCCUCCACUAUCUCAGAGCAAAUCCUUCCUCAGGCUGCAUCUCCAUCAGGGGCGGCAAAACCGGACUGUCUGCCUCCUCCGUCGGCCACGGCGUAGACCGGAGGGGUGGCUGGCGCCUAGUCCGAGAAAAAACCAUCCCUGGAAGUGAAGCUGUCGGCGUCAUUGUCGUCAUCCUCCUCCUCAAGUAAAUAGACCAUUUGCUCAGACAACUCUCGACCGACCACUCUCACAUGCCUCUGCACUUGGGCUUCCAGGUAUUUCCAAUCAACAAAACCAAGGGGCCGUUGCAGAUCCUUCAUAAAAGAAAUAAACCAGUGAGUCAUUUGGUAAAUCAAGUGUGUAAACAGGCAACUCACAAGAUGGAUCUCUGUUCAAGACACCAAGUAGAUUAUGUAAUUAUGUAAGUUCCAUCAGUUAUUUAUUUAAAAAAAAAAAAAAAAACUAAGUCUUAUUCUGCAAGGGGUAAAAUCAACUAAAUAAUUGGUGGCAUGAAUUAGAGAAAAGCAGGGCAGUAGCUGAAGAACUGUCCAGACAAUAACCCAUUGGCUUCUCCUCUCUAUAUUAAAAAAAAAGCCAGUGGAAACUCAAAAUAACAUUCCACAGUGAAACGUCAUAUAACAGACGCAAAAGGAGCUUCCCAAACAAUAAGGAGAUUUAUAGUUGCCGAUGAACUUUACAUACCUUGUAUCUCAGGCGAAACCCCCCUAAUCCUAUCAGAGUAUUUCCAAUUUCCUUAUCACCAAGGUCAAACAUUUCUUCAUCUCCAACUAAACGAUCAUUCGAGUCCUUAUGCUCACUUUCCUCAUGCUGAUGUUCGCUGACAUGAUCAGAAACUGGAGGCAGCAAUGGCUUCUCAUCUUCAUCUUUAUAAUCUGACAGGACAACAUACUUACUUCUAUCUAGCAGAGGCUUUGCAACGUUGAAGGGAACCCAC
rnacentral:lncRNA from 1 species